GUCGGUGGGGGACUGACACUGUGGUCGACACGUCUGGUUGCACACAUGCUACGGUUUCUGCUGAGCACAGCUGGUGAUCUGGCUCAGGCUGCCUGGGCCACGAAGGUGCAGCUCAAUCUUCAUAACUGGCAUCUCUCUCUGCCAUGUUUCCCGGUCCAAAAUGAUUGGCUGCUGCAUCUGAGACAGAACGCUGUGCCCAUCAGACCUGGCUGGUUUCUUGAGACAUUUUAUAACUGUUAGUUCAUCUGUUGAAUUACUGUGGAAGAAUGGUAAAACCUGAAUUCCAGGCAUAACAGGGAUGAUCGGCUGCCAUGUUGGCGUUUGUCAGUCACAAUAUUCACAUGCUCAACAAGCACGGUGGCAACACAAAGUAAAAAAUGACGCUGAUGGGGAUGUUUGGGUUUGCAGGUAUUUAGUCAGAUACAGGAGAGGAAAGUGUUGAACUGGAUGGGAAUCUCCUAAUCCUGACGGGGAAACAUGACCAUGAUGUGUGUUUGUAACAAAGAGAAUGAAAAAAUGUUCUUCUCUUACUCUUACUUACUGUGGUGAAGUGCAGUUUCACUGUCCAGUUCAUGUCUCAUAUGACUUUUGAUUUCAGACUGGGAGGAGUUAAAUAACUAAUUAACAAGCUUUAAUUUUGACAGUGAUAAUUUACAGGAGGAUUCCUUUAAAUAAAAUGUCUUUGUCGAAGCGAACAUUUUUGUAGCCCUAUCAUUACUGACUGGGGAGUGAGGGCUACUGUCCGUAUGAAAGGUGAGUAGGUUGCUCCCUCUAGUGCUGUAUUGGAAUACGUCGCUAUUUACCAGAAUAAAUGUAUUUUAAGGAAAAUGCAGGGGAGUUGUACUUCAAGCUUUAGCCCUACUUUUUCUCUUUGUACGCAAAAUAGACAAAUGAUAUCCCGACCUGGAGAGUUAAGUUUCCUUUCUCGGUCAACAAUGCAGUGGUACCCUCCUCCUCUCUCCUCCCAUUUGCUCUUCCUCUAUGACAUUAACCCCUUAACACUUCACCCCUGUUAAACAAACGAUGACAGGACAUGGAAUAUGAUUCUGAUGAAUAAUAAAGCUGAUACAAGUUCCUUAA